rnacentral:rRNA from 1 species
GACGAACGCUGGCGGCGUGCCUAACACAUGCAAGUCGAGCGAUGAAGCCCUUCGGGGUGAAUUAGCGGCGGACGGGUGAGUAACACGUGGGCAACCUGCCUAUAAGACUGGGAUAACUUCGGGAAACCGGAGCUAAUACCGGAUAAUUCAUAUCUACUCAUGUAGGUAUGCUGAAAGACGGUUUACGCUGUCACUUAUAGAUGGGCCCGCGGCGCAUUAGCUAGUUGGUGAGGUAACGGCUCACCAAGGCAACGAUGCGUAGCCGACCUGAGAGGGUGAUCGGCCACACUGGGACUGAGACACGGCCCAGACACCUACGGGUGGCAG